CUACUCCUUGUAAACUUGCUUCGAGCUGUAAUCACCGAGGUUGCAGCAUAUCAAACUCAGAUACAAAGUAUGAUGUUACUCCGUAGGACGCAGAACAUCAAUUAGGGGAACACUGUUUAAAACAAGAUCGAAAAAGUGUGACAGAAGACCAUGAGGUGAAACAAAACCCAAUAUGUGCGACUUCAUGUACUCAUACAACUGUUCGAUAAACUUACAACAUAUAACUUAUCGUUUGAUCCGCCACAAGUACCUGGAUAUAAAUACUUUUCCACGUAACAGAAAAACUUGCAUUUCAAGUAAUCAUGCAGUAGAGAUCGUGCAUGGUAUGAUGUUCACCAUCUUGGUAAAAUAUGAACAACUAUAACAAAUUUGGAAUCACCAUAACAGCAUCAAAACUCCCCUAGUAAGCCUCACUAGUCAGCCUCCAGGACAUUUUGUUCUUCAGCUAGAAGAGGGGUCUUAAAAGAAAAUAGAAAGAGGGGGUUUAGAAUGAUAGAAAUAGGGGUUUUAUUUCAAAAUCUCUGUCUCUAGCUUUUGGCACUUGGUGAUUUUAGCCCCUAGUUAGCAGAGCUUUUUCUGUAAUCACAUAGAAGGUAGCACUAAAAAAUAAGCUAAUAAAUGUUCAUAUAAAAUAAAACAAGACAACUCCUCUCUAUUUCUGCCAUUUAUUGGUUCCACAAAAAAAUUAAUAUCAGAUUUCUGCUGAGCAUUAGUACAUUUCCAAGGGAAUUGCAGCCCCAAUCCAACAACCACCUCCCCCUCAUUGACACACUCCAGGCUACAGGCAAGGGGUACACUAUACAAAA